CCCUUAGAUGUUCUGGGCCGCACGCGCGCUACAAUGGUCUUCGCAAACGGAUGCAUUCUCGAAGGAGAAUGCCAAUCUUGGAAUCUAUGCCUUGGUCGGGACAGUUGCUUGCAAUUUUUCGACUCGAACCAGGAAUUCCUUGUAAUCGUGAUUCAUCACAUCACGAUGAAUACGUCCCUACCCUUUGUACACACCGCCCGUCGCUCCUACCGAUCGAAGAGUUAGGUGAAUUGUUUUGAUCGAUAAGAUUUGACUAUGGUCAACUCUCGUUGUGAAAUUCUGUGAAUCUGACUGUUUAGAGGAAGGAAAAGUCGUAACA
rnacentral:rRNA from 1 species